GUGUGGGGUCGAUGUACUAGGGCAGCACAUGGUCUAGGAAACCCCUGAAUGGUUGCUCCCAAUCAGGAGGCACAUGCCCUUGUCUUUGAACCUUGCUUGGCUGUGAGACCUGGACCAAAACACUAUCAUACUCUGUCCUGGAGCAUUGCCACUUAGGUGGUCACAGAUAGAUCUGAAGAUUUCCUCCAGCUUUGUCUUUGAGGUUCUGUCUGGUGUGUGCAUGCUCAAUCAUGUCUAACUGUUUGCAACCCUGUGGACUAUAGCCCUCCAGGCUCCUCUGUCCAUAGGAUUCUUCAGGCAAGAAUACUGGAGUGGGUUGCCACGCCCUCCUCCAGGGAUCUUCCUGACCCAGAGAUCAAACGCUUAUCUCCUGCACUGGCAGAUGGAUUCUUUACCACUGAGUCAGGUUGAAUAUGUGACGUCAUGCAGAAGUUUGGAUAAUAGGGUUGUACUGAGUCCUAUCUCACAGAUUUUUCUCCCCCACAAAAAGUAUGGGUGUACAUGUGGGUGUCUGUGUGUGUUUCUUCCAGUUUCACAUUCUGAUGCUCUUAGAUUUUCCAUAUUUUUUUUUCCUUAGUAGAUCAAAGUCAUCUUAGCUCCCUCCAUCUGGAAGGAGUGGAACUGAUGGAUGCAAUCCAUGGAUUCUGGGAAUCUUUCGUCUACCUGGUGACGUGAAUGACGACGUGGGCCCUGGCUGAACUUGAAGUCAUGAUUCUCUUCUCUGGACUCCUGUACUAUUCCAGUUUCCAGCACACAAGACUUACUGGUGGUGGCUUCUACUACCCCAGGGCAGCUGGAGGAAGAACAGAGUCCCCGCCCGGGCCGAGUGAUGGCAGCGAGGAGAGGCAGAGACUGCCAGGGGCAGGCGACGCCCUGCCCCUCCGCGUUCCUGGGAGGCCUGACAGACACUCGGAGCUCCAGCUGGAUAGAGUGGGGGAGCCGAGCUUCUGGAAAACUUUAGCUUGUUAUUGUGAAGCCUUGUGAAGCAGGGUGUCCUGGAGUGCCAGUCGUUCCUCUUGCACACAACUCUCUACCCAAGGCGCUCACCGUGCUCUGCAAGGAAGGGGCCAGCUCACGACCAGCAGGACCCAGCCAGGCUCCAGCCAGCAGCUCCCUGAGGAAGCUUCUAGCAUUGUUAGCCAACUUGUGUGCUUCCCAGGCCUUCCGCGGCUGGGCACCGUUUCCAGACCCUAUCUUGCCAGCUGGAGAAGCCGAGUCCAGCUCCCGCUGCCAGAGAGCUUUCAGCGGCCAAGUGGAAAAGCUGGCCUCCUCCCCUUGGGAAGAAGUCCCAAGUGAAAUUUGAGAACCUUUGGGAUGCAUAUCAACGGGACCUUUCUCCAUGUUUCUGUGCUCAGGGCCCUGGAAGCCACUCAAGGGGCACAAAAGCCUGGAGGACCACCCCACCCUUCCCCGGGCAAUGUGGGGUCAUGAGCUCUUUGAGGCGGGGGGUGGGGGGGGGCGCGGGUUGCGGUUCCCUCUGCCUCCAGUGCUUCAGACACAGCAGAUCUGUUUCACGUUAGGAGAAACGUUUUGAGCAUUACCCUGCCAGGUGGAAUUGUUUUUACAUCCAUCCUGAAACUGACAAUUUUUGUCUCUGAAAUGGCCUAGGCUGUAAUCAGAAGGUGUCAGGGCCACAAGUCCCUGUAUCCCAUGGGGAGUCAAGGCCCAGAGAAGCACAUGCCUGGGUGAGGGUCACCCAGCAGUUAAGGUUGGAGGAGUGCCCACACCCAGAUUGCCUCCCAUCCCCCGGGCACCACCCUGCUCAGUGCCGGCCACAUUCCUCUCCUAGCUCAUGGCCCGAAGUUCAGCUUCAUGAAGCCCCAGGAUGGCCUGGGGCUUCUUAGCAGCAAAGAGCAAGUCAGUUUUAGUUUUGCUGAACAGGUGUAGGCUCGAGAACCGGGCCCUGGCUUUCCCUGAGGACCACAAGACACUCCUGUCCCCAGCAUCCCCUUCUUUCUCUUGCAAAAGCGUGCAAACAGACACUCCUUUUCUGGGGGCCACUGGGAGAAGGGCACCGUUCGAUGCCCCACUUCAGCGGCUCUGUUGAGGUGACUAGAAUGGGUCCUGUUGUUCUCUCCAGGUCAGGCCAGGGCCAGGCAGGGUGCCUGCCAGGAGGACACCGUGGACAUUGAUGCUGAGAGCACUGCGCCUCCCUCCCCCAGCCUCCCCAGUGCACCUGUGCAGGAGAGACCAGGCUCAAGGCCAGGGCGCUCUGUCUCAGACCCUCCUGCUUACUCCGACUCACUGAACUCACACAAAGCACUUCACCUGGAGCUGGGAGGCCAGGGAUGAUCAGGUUUAUCCCUGAGCUGGUUCAGAGGCAGGAGCCUGCGUGGCAUGAGAGACAUCUGGCCUGUUCCUCUGUGUGGGAGAAUAUCUGUUUGUUUUCAGGCUCCGGGGAGGAUCUAAGGACAUGGCCAGGGGAGCGGGAGCAGGCUGCUCUCCCAGCCUCGUUUACAUACUCUAGUGUGCAACAGAGCACUCGAGGACGGAGAUCUUUCUCCAAGAGUGUUAUAUUCUGAAAGGAGCAUCAGGCAUCUUUUUCUUUUUUUUUUAAGUUCCUGUCUUGAGGAUUACCUAGACAAAUUCCCAUAGUCAGCUUCUGUCUGAGUAAAAACAAAAGAAAAAGUGGCUUUCAUAAAAUAGAAAUGAAAUAAAAUUACUUUAAUUUGUCACACAGAAAAAUAAAUCCAGAGUCUAGGGCUGUUUCAAUUCUCCAUGGGGUCGGAGCCUAGUUUCUUACUCUCUGCUUUACCUUCUUCAGCACAUGGCUCUACCUACCUAUGUGGCCAAAGAUAGCUGCUAAAGAUCCAGCCAUCAUAUCCAUAUUCCAGCCAGCAGGAGGCGGGGCGGGGCAUGGAGAAAGGCUUCCCACCUUUUGUGAGGACAUAUCCUGGAAUUCACACACUGUACUUUUGCCAUAUUGGCUAAAACAAUUCCAGAGACUGAAGAAGGUAGCCUUUAUUCUAGGUGGCUGUGUGCCCAGACAAAACACAGGGAUUCUUUUCCAGGGAAAAUGGAUAUUAGGGGACAAUUAACUAUCUCUGCCCAGCCUUCCUCUUGGAUGGGUAAUAUUAAAAGGGUUUAUAAUACACAGGCAUCCUAUUUAAGAUUGCAAUAUUAUCAUCAAGACUUGUUUUAGAAGCACAGACUAACAUUCAGUCAAUUCAGUUCAGUCACUCAGUUGUGUCCAGCUCUUUGAGACCCCAUGGACUGCAGCACGCCAGGCCUCCCUGUCCACCACCAACUCCCAGAGUUUACUCAAAC
rnacentral:lncRNA from 1 species